GGGCGGAACUGUGUAAAAAUGUUGAUAAUUGAUAUCUUGCAGGGGGAGGGUUUAGAGACAGACACCGAACAUGGCGGCGCUCGGCAGCCGUGCAAAUCGCCCAGAAAACGGCGAAAAACAAAGCAAAUCUCCUCUCGUAUCUCCUCUGAAAGUGCGAGAACUUCUAAACGAAGGGGUAGCCUCGGAAGACAACGUGUUUAAUUGUUCGCAGCAGGAUUCAAGCACACUGUCUCCGAAUGGCCUUGGGAAAGCUCCAUGUGAGGCAGCAAACAAAGAAGCAUUUUUCAACAGAGUAGAAUCCUACUCCUGUCUGAAAUGGGCCGGAAAGCCCCGUGUGCUCUCGCCGCUGAGAUGUGCACGGUACGGCUGGAUCAACGUAGACUGUGAUAUGCUGAAGUGUUCUAGUUGCCAGGCUUUUCUCUGUGCAUCAAUCCAAGCAACACUGGACUUCCAGAAAUAUGAAGGACGUAUUUCGGAGUUGCUACAGCAGCUUCAAACGCAACAUGAGAAAUUCUGUUCCUGGCCAGAUUUUCCAUGUCCAGAUCGCUUCUGGAUGGUUCCUAUUAAUGAGCCUACGAUACUACUCAGUGCCUUUGUAGACCGUUUCAAGAGUGCUUGCCUUCUAGAACAGCAGCUGCCUGCUAUGAAGCCAGAGCAACUCAAAGCCAUGAGCUUAACCGAAGAUGUUGUAAGUGUCCUCCUGCAGCUGAUUGAAGAUGAGCAAGUGAAGCAAGGUGGUUCUCCCUCUAAGGUCUCAUCAGAUCCACUCUCUGUACAGGUGGCAGCAUGCAUUGUAGCCCUUUGUGGUUGGGCAGCCAGCCCGUCACUACACAAUAUGAAUCUGCCCAUCCUCACUUGUUCAUACUGCAUGAGAAAAGUAGGGAUGUGGAACUUUUAUCAAAUGGAGACUGUUUCAGAGGGUGAAAUCCCUCCGCAGUCUCCAACAUCCACUACCGCCUUGACUCCAACUCAAGGCACAAGUGGGGAAAAGGGAACGCCCACCUCACCAUCCCAAUCCCCUACACCAUGUCGCAUGAAGCUGCGUAGUCAAGAUUCCACACGCUCUGAGCAGAUUGAGACUACAUCAUCUCCACUGGUUCCCCGCACAAGAAUCAGAGACUCCCCUAUCCCACAUGAAGAGCUUCCGAGUCCCUUGCCCAGGGGCAAGAGACCAAUGACCCGCAGCAGGGGCCAAGGAGAGAACCUGGCCAUGGAUGUGCCCUCUAGUCCACAGCGAAAGACAAAACGCCCACGUCUCUCCUCUGCCAGUGGCUCUGAAGGGCCCAUGCACAGACAUGUGUUUGACCCAGUAGCUCAGCACAGAGACUGGUGUCCUUGGGUGAGUGUGGAAAAAGAGAAGGGCAAUCUAGAUGGCUCUGUCUUUGUUGGCUCUGAGGCAGAACUCCCUCAACCAGGCUGGAAAGCAGCGCUCACCCUGUUCUUAUCCAUGAAAAGAAGCCUCAGUCCAGCAGGAGCCAGUCCAUCUCAGGGCCCUCAUGACAAAUCAAAAAGGGUGUUCUCAAUAUUCCGACAGUGGCAGGUAUCCUCCCAGUAAGCCAGUAAGUUGCACUUCAGAAGGUGGACUGGCAAACCCCGGUGACGUUAUUCUAGUGUUAUGGGUUUGGUUGGGAAAGGGACAGUAAAUCCACACGGAUCAAGCGGCCUGUGCUGAAAGACCUUGCCUUGGAGCAGGAAAGCCCAGCAGAGUUCUUCUCAGAAAUUGUAACUUUACCACACUGUUUUGAAUCUGGGCCUGUCCAGUCGGCAUUCAAACAUCAACAGACCGGUGCUCUUUACCUCGCAUGGACUGCCGAAUAGUCCUUGCCACCUCAGGCUUUAAGGUUUUAGCCUAAUUUAGGGAAGCUUUAGUGAAGCUUCUAGACCUACACUGGAAGACAUGCUAGUUUUAUCAUCGCUGGACAGUUUUCAGAUUAGCCAAGGAUUUUUCUGCAUUGUUUAAGUAGGUAUAUGAUAUUUACUUCCAUAAAUGUGAAUGAGCCGAAUCUCAUUUUUAAAGAUGUUUAUCACCUUUUCCCCCACUUGCCAGCUGCCAUAUUUAGAAAAGAGUGCCAAUGUAAAUGGUUUUGCUUUUAGACCACUUUCUCUGUAAGUGCUGCCUGUAGUGUCCUUGCAUGCGAAUCUUGCGCAUCUCUACCUAAAUUGAAUAAACAUUUUGCUGGUUUUCACUA